rnacentral:rRNA from 1 species
UACGAAGGGGGCUAGCGUUGCUCGGAAUCACUGGGCGUAAAGCGCACGUAGGCGGCUUCUUAAGUCAGGGGUGAAAUCCUGGAGCUCAACUCCAGAACUGCCUUUGAUACUGAGGAGCUCGAGUCCGGGAGAGGUGAGUGGAACUCCGAGUGUAGAGGUGAAAUUCGUAGAUAUUCGCAAGAACACCAGUGGCGAAGGCGGCUCACUGGCCCGAUACUGACGCUGAGGUGCGAAAGCGUGGGGAGCAAACAGG